rnacentral:rRNA from 1 species
CAGUAGCCGCGGUAAUACGAAGGGUGCAAGCGUUACUCGGAAUUACUGGGCGUAAAGCGUGCGUAGGCGGUGAGUUAAGUCUGCUGUGAAAUCCCCGGGCUCAACCUGGGAAUGGCAGUGGAUACUGGCUCGCUAGAGUGUGUCAGAGGAUGGUGGAAUUCCCGGUGUAGCGGUGAAAUGCGUAGAGAUCGGGAGGAACAUUAGUGGCGAAGGCGGCCAUCUGGGACAACACUGACGCUGAGGCACGAAAGCGUGGGGAGCAAACAGGAUUAGAGACCCCCGUAGUCCCUGUCUCUUAUAC